rnacentral:rRNA from 1 species
AGGUGUGAUCAUACCAACAUUAAUUCACUGGAUCCAAUCAGAAAUUUGCAGUUAAGCGCGCUUGGGUUAGAGUAGUACUAGGAUGGGUGACCUCCUAGAAAGUCCUAGUGUUGCACCCU